rnacentral:lncRNA from 1 species
UUCACAAUCUUUUUGUGCUUCUCCCUAAAUUUUUUUUUCCUUAACAAUUCUAAUUAAAUAAAUAUUUCUCAGAUAAAUCUAACAACAACCACAUAAAUAUUUUAAUAAAUCAUCACAUACAAUCUUAACAACCUAGAAAAUUCUAUUAAACUAUCCACACAAUCCUAAUUAACAAUCAAUCAAAAGUUCGAAUAAUUCACAUAUAAUUCUAACAAUUUCACUUUUUUUAUUAUUAAAUCAUAACAAUUAUAUAAAAGUUUCAACAAAUCAUAUAUAAUUUUAACAACCCAAAAAAUCCUAAUAAUCUACAAUCCUAAUUAUCAAUCAGAAAUUCCAAUAAUCCACGUAAAAUUUCAAUCACUUUUUUUUUCUAAUUUUCAUAUAUAAUCCUAACAAAAAUAUAAAAAUUUUAACAAAUCAUAAACAAUCUUAACAAUCUAAAAAAUUCUAAUAAAUAAUAUUCAAGAAUGCGGUGAAUAAUUCGUCACUUUAGUAAAAAAAAACGAUUCACCGUUUUUUAAAAAAAUUUCACCCCGACGCUGGUUUAGGGUGUGUUUGGUUCCACGUAAAACUGUGGAAAAAAUUUCGGUGGAAAAAAAAUUUUCGGUGGGAAAAAAGUUUUACGUUGUUUGUGUUUGGUUUGUAGGAAAAGACAAAAAAAACUAUUUAAUAUAUUUUUUAUUAUAUAUAUUAUUAAUAUAUAAUAAUUAUUAUUAUGCUAUAUAUGAAAAAUUAUUAAAUAUAUUUUCUUCUAUUAUAUAUAUUAUAUAUUAUUNUCAAUUUAUUUCACUACAUAAUAGGUGUUCUGUAUAUCGUUGGUUAGAAUAUAUUUUCUACCAUCCCAUUGAAAAAUACAAAAAUAUUUUUUCUAUAUACUUUCACUCAAUUCUAUUCUAUCUAUCACAGUUUGAUGGGCAUCCUUACCAAACAAG